AGGUGAUUCUGCAUUCUAUGGUUAGCUAACACAUUAGGGUACAAAAGUUUCUUCUACCACAUCUCUUAAUUACGUCGGUAAGAUAGGCAAAUAUUUACCUAAAUUAGCAACAUCCAGUCCGCCCAGACUGUUAGUUUCCAGCCUGCACAGUCUGUACUAUUUUGGUCAUAUCUCUCAAUUUAUAACUCCAAAUUAGGUGAUUCAAAAAC
rnacentral:lncRNA from 1 species